UGAUUGCCAACAUUUUUAUGGUUUAUUUUUUUUAUUUCUCCAGACUAUAUUUUUACAAUUUUGGAUAUUUUUCUAAGAGGCUUUGCCCACCAAUAUUCCUAUGUCUAAUUUGCCUUCAGAAGAACAUAGUGUGAGAAGUGCCUCUAUCAGGCAUGCCCUGACACUGAUCUUCCUUUCAAGAGCCAGACAUUGACAACCAGUUUCAGCUCAGUGCCCUGCUCUAUGUGUUUAGAUGAUGAACACCCUUAAUUAGAAACCUAGAAUCAUCAAGGUAGGAAGAGACCUCUAAGAUUGUCAAGUCCAACCAUCAAUGCAGCACUGCCACUGUUACCCCUAAGCCGCUCUACCCACAUCAUCUAGCACCAGAUCCAGAUGCCUCCUAAGGACCUCCAGGGAUGGUGACUCCACCACCUACCUGGGCAACCUGUUCCAAUGCCUGACGUGCCCUAACAGUGAAAAAAAUAUUUCUAAUAUCUAAUCUGAUUCUCAUGUCUCAGCUGAAGGCCAUUUCCUCUGGUCCUAUCACUGCAGGCACAGUAGAAGAGACUGACCCCCACCUCACUUCAGCUUCCUUUCAGGGAGGGAGUUGUAGAGAAUGAUGAGAAUGCUCCCUUCAGCCUUCUCUUCCUGUGACUAAACAAACCCAGCUACCUCAGCAAGGUAGGGCUCCUCAUAAGACUUGUUUCCUAGUCCUUUCAUGAGCCUUGUUCCCCUUUCCUCCAGCACCACAAUGUCCUUUUUAAAGUGAGUGGCCCAGAACCAGACUCGUGGUGCAGCCUCAGCAGCUCCAUGUACAGAAGGAUGAUCACCUCCCUUGUCCUGCUGGCCACACUGUUCUUGAUUCAGGCCAAGAUGGCCAUUGGCCUUCUUGGCCACCUGGGCGCAUGCUGGCUCACUCUGAACUGGCCCUCAGUGAGCACCCCCAAGUCCCUUUUUGCUGAGCACCUCUCUCCCCCAGCCUGUAGGGCUGAUGGGUUUGCUGAGACCCAGGUGCAGAACACAGCACUUGGCCUUGUCUUAUACCUGCAAAGAACAACUGCUAUUGUUAUUUCCAUUCUGCUGAAGAUUAUCAUUAUUCUUCAUGGAUUUUACUUCACAAGAAUCCUGUUACCUAGAGAAACUUUUAUUAUCCCUGCUUUCAAGCAAUUCCUCUCAAGGAACAAAGAUAUGUCAAGAGCAUCCACAGUCGUCUGUGUUAGAUGUUUCUGGUGCCACUUCAGAGUUUCAUGCCUCUCCGCUGUCACGUGUCUCAACAGUGACUGGUGUGCCCAAAGUGACAUUGUGUAGCCAGCAGCAUAAACUUGUAAGAAGCCAAGCCCUUCAAACCAGCAGAGUCAGAAGAUUCAUCUGCAUUUUGAAAGCAUAUGCCAAAUGCUCGUCAGAGGACAGUCAUGUACCAGGCUUCUUCUGGCAGCAGUGGUACAUAUUCAGCUGCCGUUUUUACUGAUAAAGUACUAAUCAUGUUGUGUGUGAGAGGGAACUGUGUGUAGAGCCAGCCAUGCUUGCAAGUGAACUCAAGCCUUGAGAAGAUUGAACUGUGUUGGACAAACAUGCUCUGACCAACAGUUUUUAUUCUAUUUUAUUUAGUUACUUCCUCAAAACUGCAGUCAUAGUGCCUUUACUACUUUGCAAGUAUCUCUCUCAUGUCCUUUUGAGUAAAUACUGACAGUUCUCCUGAUUUCUUUCUUCAGUAACAGUCUUGCCUGUAUUACUGACUACUUUUACUAAUUACUUCUCCCAUAUCCAAAGAUAGGCAAAACUUUAUCUUUGAGAAACCUCUUCCUCUCCUGCUGUCAUCAGGGCCUCAUGACAAAGCCUGCAAGAAAUGGUCAGGCAGAAAUAACUCAAUAUUUAUUGAACCUUUCAAUAAAUAACCAAACAAGUGUAUCUUUUAUGUAAAUGAUGUUCUUUCCACUCUGUGAUCCAGAAUGUUUGCUAGUUAACAUACCAAACAAAACAGAUAGAAAAAUCUGUCAAUACUGGGAUUGAUGGUGUCUGUUAAAAAUGAAGCAAUUGAUUUUAAAAGGGAAAAAUUAGCUUGUAAUUCCAAAUUUUAAAAUGUAUUGUCUGCUUUUUCAAAGCAUGAGCAAUAAAAUGCACAUGCCAAUUGUGACUAAAUAGUAGUGUAUGGGUAUAACUCCAUUUCUGGUGUCAUAUACAUGUCAGUGAAACUAUGUGCCAGCAAUUAAAAGUGGUCAAAAGCGGCUCAGCUACUCACUGAGAUGGAUUAGCUGACCACACCUGCAUUUCUCAUCUGUGGCAAUUGUCUAGCCUCAUGCCUUCAUAAGGAAUUUUUUUCAUGGAAAGGAUUGUUAAACAUGGGAAUGUACUGCUCAGGGAGUACCAUCCCUGGAGAGGUUCAGGAAACCACUGGGAGUGGUGCUCAGUGCCAUGGUCUAGUUGACAAGGUGGUGAUCAGUCAAAGGUUGGACUCCAUGAUAUUGGAGGCCUUUUCCAAACUAAAUGAUUGGUGAUUCUGUGAUUCAUGAUGCCAGCCUAGGCAAACUGAAAUUGUUUUGCAGCUGCCAGAGACAAGAAACCAAAAAUACAGUCUGCUAAUGUGGCUCAGCUAACAUUAUGCAGUGUGUAUAUAUAUAUAACAUAUAUACAGUGUUAUGCUCUGAUUGCUCAGUUGGUUGCAAGGGUCUUUUGGUGGCCAGUGCAGAAGGAGACUCCAAUCAGAGCUGCCAGUUUUAAGGGGAGCUCAGCCCAGUGAGUGGGGGUGGAGCAGAAAGGCUAAUUUCUUGCUUGUCUUCUUUUAGGGUAAAAGAGGAAGCUGCUGAGGACAUUCACUUUCCACUGUUUCCUCUAACUGGUUUUUCUCUGUGAACAAGCCAGUGUAAGGAAAAAACUUGUGCUUUUUCUCCCAGAAGAGGCAGAAGUUUUGUCUGGAAGUCCCAACAAACUCUCUUAAUCUGUAUGUGUUUUGCAUCCAAGUCCCUGUAUGUGGCUUGAUAACUACAUGUGCACCAUGUGUGCUCCCUGAAGGCUUUAUCGGUAGUAUACGUCUUUUUCUGAAUUAGAUCCAGAGACCUCAAACAUAAGCUGAGGUGGUCUUUCACCAAGUAGUGUGAAGCAGAUUUACCACUCACUAAAAAAGUUGUGGGGAGAAUGGAAAAGAAUGUGUGUCCUCUUGACUCAGUAACUUCUCACUCAACGUGUAAAGACAUGAACUUGGCAAAGUGGCUCAGAGCUUUGCUGCAUAAUAAAGUGAAGAUCCUUAAGCCAAAGAAACUCACCAAAUGGAAAUACAAUGGAAUUUUCUCAGAUAACAGUACUGUUUCUAUCAGAAAGGAACUUUGGUAGUUUCUGUAGUAGCUGCAGUGAUAUAGUUGCUUCAUUGUGAGCCUGCAAUGAAAUAUUUGCAUAGCUUCAUUCAUUGUCCUUUUUUUCUGACAGAAAUGAAACUCCACGAACAAUAGCAUUUUUUACACUUGCAAGAACUCUGAUGGUAAUUAAGUUUGUAAUGUAUUUUCUGUAACUUCAUUUGGUUUUUAUUCUGACUUGGGAAAUUUGUAAUUAUUUAGCAUGCAUCUUUGUUUCCUCUCUCA